UACAGAGGUCUCAAGCGUUAUUCGGAAUUAUUGGGCGUAAAGGGCGCGUAGGCGGCCCGGUAAGUCAAAGGUGAAAUCCCUCGGCUCAACUGAGGAACUGCCUUUGAAACUGUCGGGCUUGAGGCCGGGAGGGGGUAGCGGAAUUCCCAGUGUAGCGGUGAAAUGCGUAGAUAUUGGGAGGAACACCGGUGGCGAAGGCGGCUACCUGGACCGGUUCUGACGCUGAUGCGCGAAAGCGUGGGUAGCAAACAGG
rnacentral:rRNA from 1 species